AGGACGUUUUGGAUCCUGGCUCAGGAGAAACGCUGGCGGCGGUGCCUAACACAUGCAAGUCGAGCGAUGAAGUUCCUUCGGAACGGAUUAGCGGCGGACGGGUGAGUAACACGUGGGUAACCUGCCUUAUAGAGGGGGAUAGCCUUCCGAAAGGAAGAUUAAUACCGCAUAAAGUUGUUGAUUCGCAUGGAUCGAUAACCAAAGGAGCAAUCCGCUAUAAGAUGGACCCGCGGCGCAUUAGCUAGUUGGUGAGGUAGAAGCUCACCAAGGCGACGAUGCGUAGCCGACCUGAGAGAGUGAUCGGCCACAUUGGGACUGAGACACGGCCCAGACUCCUACGGGAGGCAGCAGUGGGGAAUAUUGCACAAUGGGGGAAACCCUGAUGCAGCAACGCCGCGUGAGUGAUGAAGGCCUUCGGGUUGUAAAGCUCUGUCUUUGGGGACGAUAAUGACGGGACCCAAGGAGGAAGCCACGGCUAACUACGUG
rnacentral:rRNA from 1 species